CCUACGGGUGGCAGCAGUGAGGAAUAUUGGUCAAUGGACGAGAGUCUGAACCAGCCAAGUAGCGUGAAGGAUGACCGCCCUAUGGGUUGUAAACUUCUUUUAUAUGGGAAUAAAAUGUUCCACGUGUGGGCUUUUGUAUGUACCAUAUGAAUAAGGAUCGGCUAACUCCGUGCCAGCAGCCGCGGUAAUACGGAGGAUCCGAGCGUUAUCCGGCUUUAUUGGGUUUAAAGGGAGCGUAGGUGGAUUGUUAAGUCAGUUGUGAAAGUUUGCGGCUCAACCGUAAAAUUGCAGUUGAAAAUGGCAGUCUUGAGUACAGUAGAGGUGGGCGGAAUUCGUGGUGUAGCGGUGAAAUGCUUAGAUAUCACGAAGAACUCCGAUUGCGAAGGCAGCUCACUGGACUGCAACUGACACUGAGGCUCGAAAGUGUGGGUAUCAAACAGGAUUAGAUACCCGUGUAGUC
rnacentral:rRNA from 1 species